GAUGAACGCUGGCGGCGUGCCUAAUACAUGCAAGUCGAGCGAAUGGAUUAAGAGCUUGCUCUUAUGAAGUUAGCGGCGGACGGGUGAGUAACACGUGGGUAACCUGCCCAUAAGACUGGGAUAACUCCGGGAAACCGGGGCUAAUACCGGAUAACAUUUUGAACCGCAUGGUUCGACAUUGAAAGGCGGCUUCGGAUGUCACUUAUGGAUGGUCCCGCGUCGCAUUAGCUAGUUGGUGAGGUAACGGCUCACCAAGGCAACGAUGCGUAGCCGACCUGAGAGGGUGAUCGGCCACACUGGGACUGAGACACGGCCCAGACUCCUACGGGAGGCAGCAGUAGGGAAUCUUCCGCAAUGGACGAAAGUCUGACGGAGCAACGCCGCGUGAGUGAUGAAGGCUUUCGGGUCGUAAAACUCUGUUGUUAGGGAAGAACAAGUGCUAGUUGAAUAAGCUGGCACCUUGACGGUACCUAACCAGAAAGCCACGGCUAACUACGUGCCAGCCGCCGCCGAA
rnacentral:rRNA from 1 species